CUUCGGAUGCUGACGAGUGGCGAACGGGUGAGUAAUACAUCGGAACGUGCCCGAUCGUGGGGGAUAACGAAGCGAAAGCUUUGCUAAUACCGCAUACGAUCUACGGAUGAAAGCAGGGGACCGCAAGGCCUUGCGCGAACGGAGCGGCCGAUGGCAGAUUAGGUAGUUGGUGGGAUAAAAGCUUACCAAGCCGACGAUCUGUAGCUGGUCUGAGAGGACGACCAGCCACACUGGGACUGAGACACGGCCCAGACUCCUACGGGAGGCAGCAGUGGGGAAUUUUGGACAAUGGGCGAAAGCCUGAUCCAGCCAUGCCGCGUGCAGGAUGAAGGCCUUCGGGUUGUAAACUGCUUUUGUACGGAACGAAAAGACUCUGGUUAAUACCUGGGGUCCAUGACGGUACCGUAAGAAUAAGCACCGGCUAACUACGUGCCAGCAGCCGCGGUAAUACGUAGGGUGCAAGCGUUAAUCGGAAUUACUGGGCGUAAAGCGUGCGCAGGCGGUUAUAUAAGACAGAUGUGAAAUCCCCGGGCUCAACCUGGGAACUGCAUUUGUGACUGUAUAGCUAGAGUACGGCAGAGGGGGAUGGAAUUCCGCGUGUAGCAGUGAAAUGCGUAGAUAUGCGGAGGAACACCGAUGGCGAAGGCAAUCCCCUGGGCCUGUACUGACGCUCAUGCACGAAAGCGUGGG
rnacentral:rRNA from 1 species